rnacentral:tRNA from 1 species
GCCGGAGUGGCGGAAUUGGCAGACGCAAGGGACUUAAAAUCCCUCGAAACCUAGUUUCGUACGAGUUCAAGUCUCGUCUCCGGCA